UGCGCAGGCGGUUUUGUAAGUCAGACGUGAAAGCCCCGGGCUUAACCUGGGAAUUGCGUUUGAAACUGCAAGGCUAGAGUACGGCAGAGGGGGGUAGAAUUCCACGUGUGGCAGUGAAAUGCGUAGAUAUGUGGAGGAAUACCGAUGGCGAAGGCAGCCCCCUGGGCUAGUACUGACGCUCAUGCACGAAAGCGUGGGGAGCAAACA
rnacentral:rRNA from 1 species